GGCGUCCGAGUUGUAAUUUGUAGAGGAUGCUAUUGGGUUGCCACCGGUCUAAGUUCCUUGGAACAGGACGUCACAGAGGGUGAGAAUCCCGUACGUGACCGGCCAGGCGCCCUCCGUAUAGCUCCUUCGACGAGUCGGGUUGUUUGGGAAUGCAGCCCUAAAUGGGAGGUAAAUUUCUUCUAAAGCUAAAUACCGGCCAGAGACCGAUAGCGCACAAGUAGAGUGAUCGAAAGAUGAAAAGCACUUUGGAAAGAGAGUUAAAAAGCACGUGAAAUUGUUGAAAGGGAAGCGCUUGCAAUCAGUCUCGACGGCGGCUGUUCGGCCUCUCUUCUGAGUGGUUUAUUCAGCCGCCGCCGGGCCAGCAUCAGUUUCGGCGGUCGGAUAAAGGCGCGGGGAAUGUAGCUCCCUCGGGAGUGUUAUAGCCCCGCGUGCAAUACGGCCCGCCGGGACUGAGGUCCGCGCUCCGGCUAGGAUGCUGGCGAAAUGGUUGUAAGCGGCCCGUCUUGAAACACGGACCAAGGAGUCUAACAUCUACGCGAGUGUUUGGGUGUCAAACCCGUGCGCGCAAUGAAAGUGAACGGAGGUGGGAACCGCAAGGUGCACCAUCGACCGAUCCUGAUGUCUUCGGAUGGAUUUGAGUAAGAGCGUAGCUGUUGGGACCCGAAAGAUGGUGAACUAUGCCUGAAUAGGGUGAAGCCAGAGGAAACUCUGGUGGAGGCUCGCAGCGGUUCUGACG
rnacentral:rRNA from 1 species